AAAAAAACAAACCCUAUAUUUUCGUGUCCAAUUUUAACUGUCCGUCUUGUAUGAAAUUUUUUUAUAAUUCUUUUAAAUAAAAAAAUAUUAUUAAUACUUUAUGUGUGACUUGUCUUUUUAAUUUUUUUUCAUAAUUUUUUUAAAUAAGACGGACGGUCAAACGUUGGACAUGAAAAUCAGGGUUUGUCUUUUU
rnacentral:pre_miRNA from 1 species